rnacentral:rRNA from 1 species
UCCGUAGGGUGCAAGCGUUAAUCGGAAUUACUGGGCGUAAAGCGUGCGCAGGCGGCUAUGCAAGACAGAUGUGAAAUCCCCGGGCUCAACCUGGGAACUGCAUUUGUGACUGCAUGGCUAGAGUACGGCAGAGGGGGAUGGAAUUCCGCGUGUAGCAGUGAAAUGCGUAGAUAUGCGGAGGAACACCGAUGGCGAAGGCAAUCCCCUGGGCCUGUACUGACGCUCAUGCACGAAAGCGUGGGGAGCAAACAGG